rnacentral:lncRNA from 1 species
CUGGUAUUUCCAAUUUUAGGAGACUCGGACAAUGUUGGUUCUUGAAGGACCGGAGACUGACGGCAUAAACUGAUAGACAGGCUACUUGCAGAAUCAGCCUUUGAGGUACUUAAAAGGUCUUCCUCACUUUCCUUGUGUAUCCCCAAAUUAAUUUCUUCAUCUUCACCUUCCUUUUGAAUUUCACCUGGACCAUUUACUUCAUCUUCACUCAUUGAAUCUGUCUCAAAACUUUCAUCCACAGAGGCAAAGUGGCUGGAGUUUCUAGUGUCAGAUAGAUCUUUCAAGUUCUCCUCACAAGAGCUAUGCAACUUCUUGAGUUGCUGAUGAAGUUCCUUCACAUCAUCCUCAUCAACUUCCACUUCAUUGUCAGAAUCAUUAUCUAUCCGGGGUAAUAUCAAAGAGCGAUUAAGGCUUACUCUCAGGUGGUUCAAGCUUUCACGUGCAUUUCGCCCUUUAAAGUAUCUAUUUUUAUUGCCAACUGAAUUAUGCACGUCUGAUUUUGCUCUUAUAAGUUCUUCCUGUGAGUUGGGGAUAACGUGCACAUUUAAUAAUCCUGGGUUUGGGAAAAAGAAUACUACUGAGGAAAAUGCAUUUACCUUUAAUUGGCGAAUCUGAUCACUCAAAUCAUUAACAUCAUCUUCUGAUAUUUCAUUUAUCACUGGCUCAUUCUUUAUUGAUUUAACUCUCUGCCCAAAUCUGAGUGUCCUGAGAGUCUCACCAUUAUAUCUGUUUCCAACCAAGCACAUUCUCAAUAUAAGGAAAAAUGAUUCAUCCUAACAAAAGUGACACUUUACUUAGAACAACAAGGAAACGAGUAAAUUGAUCAGGUCAAACAUAUCAUGGAUCAAUGCUGAAACCAUGAGUACCUCUUAAAUGCUCAAAUAGCAAACAAUUCUCAACUUGCAAAGUUACCUAUUUUCAGGGGAGAUGUUGCAUAUAACUGUGAGUUUUGAAUUUCCGCCUAGUGAUUCUUGAAGCAAAUAUGUUAAACAAGAUCCUUUAUAUGGCGCAACUUCAAAUUUUCCUGGCUGAGUGCCAUUUCCAAGAGCAUUCACCAUUCGGCUGCAUCCAUGAACAAAACCAUAACUAGUAAAGUUAGAUAAUUAAAUCCCAUUGUUUCCAUCAGAAAUGUAGUAGUAAAUGGUACAGCUGAUUAACAAUGGCAAUGGAAAAGAAUGCAGCAUUUAUGCAUUAUGAGCAUUAGAACAAAGUUGCAUCUUGUCGUAGGAAUAUACAAUGUGUCUCUUAUUUCCAUAGUAAAUUCUGAAGUUAUCCUUGUAGGUGAAGGCUCAUACCCAAGUUGUGAAAGGGACUUCUUAAUAUUUUUGCCUUCCCUUACAAAUUGUCGACCUGCAUCAUCAAGUUUAGUUCGGUCCAGUCCAGCUAGAUCGACAAAGCU